rnacentral:rRNA from 1 species
AGCAGUAGCCGCGGUAAUACGUAGGGUGCAAGCGUUAAUCGGAAUUACUGGGCGUAAAGCGUGCGCAGGCGGUUAUAUAAGACAGAUGUGAAAUCCCCGGGCUCAACCUGGGAACUGCAUUUGUGACUGUAUAGCUAGAGUACGGCAGAGGGGGAUGGAAUUCCGCGUGUAGCAGUGAAAUGCGUAGAUAUGCGGAGAAACACCGAUGGCGAAGGCAAUCCCCUGGGCCUGUACUGACGCUCAUGCACGAAAGCGUGGGGAGCAAACAGGAUUAGAUACCCCUGUAGUCCCUGUCUCUUAUAC